rnacentral:rRNA from 1 species
GGGUUGUGAGGUUAAGCGACUAAGCGUACACGGUGGAUGCCCUGGCAGUCAGAGGCGAUGAAGGACGUGCUAAUCUGCGAUAAGCGUCGGUGAGGUGAUAUGAACCGUUAUAACCGGCGAUUUCCGAAUGGGGAAACCCAGUGUGUUUCGACACACUAUCAUUAACUGAAUCCAUAGGUUAAUGAGGCGAACCGGGGGAACUGAAACAUCUAAGUACCCCGAGGAAAAGAAAUCAACCGAGAUUCCCCCAGUAGCGGCGAGCGAACGGGGAGGAGCCCAGAGCCUGAAUCAGUGUGUGUGUUAGUGGAAGCGUCUGGAAAGGCGCGCGAUACAGGGUGACAGCCCCGUACACAAAAAUGCACAUACUGUGAGCUCGAUGAGUAGGGCGGGACACGUGGUAUCCUGUCUGAAUAUGGGGGGACCAUCCUCCAAGGCUAAAUACUCCUGACUGACCGAUAGUGAACCAGUACCGUGAGGGAAAGGCGAAAAGAACCCCGGCGAGGGGAGUGAAAAAGAACCUGAAACCGUGUACGUACAAGCAGUGGGAGCCUCUUUAUGGGGUGACUGCGUACCUUUUGUAUAAUGGGUCAGCGACUUAUAUUCUGUAGCAAGGUUAACCGAAUAGGGGAGCCGAAGGGAAACCGAGUCUUAACUGGGCGUUAAGUUGCAGGGUAUAGACCCGAAACCCGGUGAUCUAGCCAUGGGCAGGUUGAAGGUUGGGUAACACUAACUGGAGGACCGAACCGACUAAUGUUGAAAAAUUAGCGGAUGACUUGUGGCUGGGGGUGAAAGGCCAAUCAAACCGGGAGAUAGCUGGUUCUCCCCGAAAGCUAUUUAGGUAGCGCCUCGUGAAUUCAUCUCCGGGGGUAGAGCACUGUUUCGGCAAGGGGGUCAUCCCGACUUACCAACCCGAUGCAAACUGCGAAUACCGGAGAAUGUUAUCACGGGAGACACACGGCGGGUGCUAACGUCCGUCGUGAAGAGGGAAACAACCCAGACCGCCAGCUAAGGUCCCAAAGUCAUGGUUAAGUGGGAAACGAUGUGGGAAGGCCCAGACAGCCAGGAUGUUGGCUUAGAAGCAGCCAUCAUUUAAAGAAAGCGUAAUAGCUCACUGGUCGAGUCGGCCUGCGCGGAAGAUGUAACGGGGCUAAACCAUGCACCGAAGCUGCGGCAGCGACACUAUGUGUUGUUGGGUAGGGGAGCGUUCUGUAAGCCUGUGAAGGUGUACUGUGAGGUAUGCUGGAGGUAUCAGAAGUGCGAAUGCUGACAUAAGUAACGAUAAAGCGGGUGAAAAGCCCGCUCGCCGGAAGACCAAGGGUUCCUGUCCAACGUUAAUCGGGGCAGGGUGAGUCGACCCCUAAGGCGAGGCCGAAAGGCGUAGUCGAUGGGAAACAGGUUAAUAUUCCUGUACUUGGUGUUACUGCGAAGGGGGGACGGAGAAGGCUAUGUUGGCCGGGCGACGGUUGUCCCGGUUUAAGCGUGUAGGCUGGUUUUCCAGGCAAAUCCGGAAAAUCAAGGCUGAGGCGUGAUGACGAGGCACUACGGUGCUGAAGCAACAAAUGCCCUGCUUCCAGGAAAAGCCUCUAAGCAUCAGGUAACAUCAAAUCGUACCCCAAACCGACACAGGUGGUCAGGUAGAGAAUACCAAGGCGCUUGAGAGAACUCGGGUGAAGGAACUAGGCAAAAUGGUGCCGUAACUUCGGGAGAAGGCACGCUGAUAUGUAGGUGAAGCGACUUGCUCGUGGAGCUGAAAUCAGUCGAAGAUACCAGCUGGCUGCAACUGUUUAUUAAAAACACAGCACUGUGCAAACACGAAAGUGGACGUAUACGGUGUGACGCCUGCCCGGUGCCGGAAGGUUAAUUGAUGGGGUUAGCGGUAACGCGAAGCUCUUGAUCGAAGCCCCGGUAAACGGCGGCCGUAACUAUAACGGUCCUAAGGUAGCGAAAUUCCUUGUCGGGUAAGUUCCGACCUGCACGAAUGGCGUAAUGAUGGCCAGGCUGUCUCCACCCGAGACUCAGUGAAAUUGAACUCGCUGUGAAGAUGCAGUGUACCCGCGGCAAGACGGAAAGACCCCGUGAACCUUUACUAUAGCUUGACACUGAACAUUGAGCCUUGAUGUGUAGGAUAGGUGGGAGGCUUUGAAGUGUGGACGCCAGUCUGCAUGGAGCCGGCCUUGAAAUACCACCCUUUAAUGUUUGAUGUUCUAACGUUGGCCCCUGACCGGGGUUGCGGACAGUGUCUGGUGGGUAGUUUGACUGGGGCGGUCUCCUCCUAAAGAGUAACGGAGGAGCACGAAGGUUGGCUAAUCCUGGUCGGACAUCAGGAGGUUAGUGCAAUGGCAUAAGCCAGCUUGACUGCGAGCGUGACGGCGCGAGCAGGUGCGAAAGCAGGUCAUAGUGAUCCGGUGGUUCUGAAUGGAAGGGCCAUCGCUCAACGGAUAAAAGGUACUCCGGGGAUAACAGGCUGAUACCGCCCAAGAGUUCAUAUCGACGGCGGUGUUUGGCACCUCGAUGUCGGCUCAUCACAUCCUGGGGCUGAAGUAGGUCCCAAGGGUAUGGCUGUUCGCCAUUUAAAGUGGUACGCGAGCUGGGUUUAGAACGUCGUGAGACAGUUCGGUCCCUAUCUGCCGUGGGCGCUGGAGAACUGAGGGGGGCUGCUCCUAGUACGAGAGGACCGGAGUGGACGCAUCACUGGUGUUCGGGUUGUCAUGCCAAUGGCACUGCCCGGUAGCUAAAUGCGGAAGAGAUAAGUGCUGAAAGCAUCUAAGCACGAAACUUGCCCCGAGAUGAGUUCUCCCUGACUCCUUGAGAGUCCUGAAGGAACGUUGAAGACGACGACGUUGAUAGGCCGGGUGUGUAAGCGCAGCGAUGCGUUGAGCUAACCGGUACUAAUGAACCGUGAGGCUUAACCUUACAACGCCGAAG